UAACAAAUUCUGAACUCCCCUUCUGCUCCCCUAUUCCCCUCUGCGUCUUCGCCAUGGAGACGCGCGGCAAGCGGCUCCUCCCCCUUCUCCUGGCCCUCGUCGCCGCGGCGGUCGCCCCGUCCGCCGCCGCCGGUGACGAGAGGGUGGUGGUGGAGGUGUCCGGCGCGCCGGACGGGGUGGUGUGGGUGGUCCAGCUCUCGGAUCUCCAUUUCAGCGUCCACCACCCGGAGCGCGCCUAUGACUUCCGGCGGUAUGUCGGUCCGACGCUCGCCAUGGUCAAUCCCUCCCUCGUCCUUAUCACCGGAGACCUCACUGAUGGAAAAAGCAAAGAUCUCUUAACAAUGAAGCAGAACGAUGUGGAAUGGAUAGAAUACAAAAAUACAAUCAAUGAUAUCAUUGAAAGCAGCAAGCUUUCAAGAAGAAUUUUCUAUGAUCUGAGAGGAAACCACGAUAGCUUUGGUGUACCAGCAUCUGGUAGGGACUAUGACUUCUAUCAGAAGUAUAGCAUCAAUGCCAAGCUAAGACGGCAGGGGCGUGUCCAAAGCAUUACUUUGGAGAAUAGUGGUCGGAAGCAUCUGUUUGUUGGCUUUGAUACAACAAUGGAGAUUGGUCUCAGAGGCCCAACAAAUCUAUUUGGGCAUCCAACUGACGAGCAGCUUAUAGAACUGGAUCAAGCAUUAUCACAGUGGGACACUGACUUCGACAAGGCUCCAGUGACAAAAAUAGCAUUUGGGCACUUCCCGAUGUCUUUCUCAACAUUAACAGAGUCAGGAAAAAGUAUCAAGGAUGUUUUUCUGAAGCACUCAUUGGCAGCACACUUGUGUGGGCAUCUUCAUACAAGUUUUGGGAAGAAUUUGAAACGCUACUAUCAUCGAACAGUUGAGGAACCGUCAUUAUCAGAACAUUAUUACCAAUUUAACAUGCACCAAAGUUAUGCAAUCCAGAGUAAUAAGGAAAACUGUUCUGAAGAAGCAGCUCAUAUCAAAGAGUUCUGGGAGUGGGAGAUGGGUGAUUGGAGAAAGAGCAGAAGUAUGAGGAUAUUAGCAAUUGAUGAUGGUUAUGUAUCCUAUACUGAUAUAGAAUUCAGAUUAGGCUCAAAGAGCAUAAUUAUACUACCUACCUUUCCCCUUGAUUCGAGAUUCAUGCAGAGAGCUUCUGCUUCUCGUGAUUUCAAAUGUCACAUCAUGGGGGCAUCAACUUUUGAUACAGUGAGGGCUCUUGUAUUCUCUAAACAUGAGAUAGUAUCUGUUUCAGUAAAGAUAUAUGACUCAAGACCAGGGACUCUUGAACUAGUCUUUGACUCUGAAAUGAAAAGGUUGGAUUCCAAUGAAACUAGAGGGCAUAUGUAUUUAGUUCCAUGGAACUGGAGGGCAUUUGAAGAUCCUUCUCCCAACCGAUAUUGGCUCCAAAUUGAAGUGAUGGAUAUAACAGGUGAUGCAAGUGUCAGUCAGUUAAGGCCAUUCUCUGUUAAUGGCUUGGCUGCAAGAGUGAGCUGGACAUGGAAGGAGUUUUUUGCGAUGGGUAUUCAGUGGGCUUCAAUAUAUCAUCCUGCACUGUGGUGCAUUCUUUCCCUGAUUUUUUCAUUGCUUCUUGUACCACAAGUUUCAGCUGUGGUAUUUAAAGAUCAGUUCACAUAUAGGUAUCUAUGUCCAAACGGUAGUCAGCAGCAGACAUUAUUGAAGAAUCUAGUUGGUGGUUUCAUCUGGCUCUUUGUUGAACUGGCCAGGGUUAUUCUUGUAUGGUUUUUGCUCUUGGUGUAUGCUAUCUAUUUAGUUGUCUUACCUUGGCUAUUUGGUCACCCCAUUACUGAGGAUGGUAACCUGACAUACAUGACAUACAAAGGCUGGAUUCUUAAGAGACCCAAUAGCGGCAGCGAAGUAGUCCAUGCUGGGACUCCAGAUGUCAUGGUCAUUGUUCUACCUCACCUUUGUUUUGUGUUUUUACCCACAAUUGUGAUUUUAGCUGCCAUGGCUGCUGAGAGAACAGCAUAUCGAGAGCAUUAUCUUUCUCGAUCAGGAAAGAAGAAAGAUGAUUACUACCAAAAGAGCAGGAGACAGAUAAAACAUGAAAUUUUUUGGAAUGGUCGCUGGAUUAGGAAAUUUCUCUGUCUUCUUUGCCUGGUGGUUCUAUGGAAACAUUGGAAGCAUUGCAGAGGUCUUGUGAAGGCUUAUGCGAUGAACCCUUUGCUACACUCGCCAGUACAUUUCUUCUUCAUUCCUGCACUCAUAGUGUUUGCCAUCUACAAGACAUCGUUCAUUUAGCUGUUUGGGAGGUCUGAAGGUGUGCUGAACUCGAUUGUCCUACAAAAGUAUCAUGCCGAGGUGUACCGGAUUGCCCUUUGGAGCAUCUAUCUGUGAAGACUAUAACUCACAACUGAAGUCGAAGGGGUCGAUGUCUCUCCGGACGCCCCCAAUUCCCAGGGGACUCCAACGCCGCCGCGCCGCACGUCGCUGAUUCGCGAACACAGGCGACUGGCAAGUCCAACGCCUCGCGGUUGGCACGACGCUGCCUCCGACCGAGUGGGGGAGGAUGGACACAGCCGCGGUGGGAGACCGAGUAGGAUGGGGCGCAUCAGGGAGAUCCGUCGGUAAGUGGGUGGGCAGAGCCGGAGGAGGAGCAGGCCGGGAGUCCAUCCGCCGCGAGGAGGCAGCCAUCGCCGUCGCCAGAGCCGGACGGGAAGGAGGAGAUCGCAGGGGGUGAUUUGAAAAAAAAUUGGGGGAGGUGAUCGCAUUCGAAAUGCUGCAGGCUAAAGAGGCCAGCAAGAAGAUGGCAUAGCUGAAGAAGAUGACAUCUCAGCGGUGAUGACCCCUCUACUGUCUCAAAUGAUUCCAUUGCUUACACUGAAGCUGGUAGCUUGUCUGGAAGAAGCGUGUCAGCUGACGCCUUCAUGACUAGGUGAGGUAACUACCUGACCUGAUGUUCCUCUCAGCUUUGUAAUUCGUCAGAAUACAUCUACAAAUUGUCCUUCUCAGUUCUCACAAUGAAGGGAAGGGGCAUGUCAACAGCUGACUGCGGCGCUGCUUGCUGCCUUGCUUGGUGUGUCGAUUACCCUUUAGCCAUGGUGGGAAACUAAGCAUUGGUGAAACAUCACAUCCAUCACACAGCUUAUGACAUUGCUUAUUAGGAAUUAUAGAAGAUCGACAUCCCGUUAUUGUAUCUUUCUUGGAUGAGAUAUGAUAUCAUGGAGAAGUAAGAAGCAAUUCAGUGGUGUCUUGGUUAAUGGUACAGGUAGGGUAUAUUGUUACGUCCUUUUACUGAACUGAUGCUAUGGGUGAGGAAUCUGUUGUCUAAGUUGAAGCUGCUGAGGGAUCGGAAAUCCACUAAAGCUCCAGUGUCACAAGAAGUCAGCCAACAAUAUUGCUAACAAUCCUGCUCAACACUACCUGACUAAACAUGUGGAAAUGGACCACUUCUUCGUCAAGGAAUGUGGAUGCAGAAUCUUGAAGUUGAGGUAUACAACUUCUGCUAAUCAAGCUGCUGACUAUUUAACGAAGGGGUUAGAAACUAAGCAUGUAUAAUAGCUUAUUACAAGACGGGAACAAUAGAUAUCUAACGCCAUCUCGACGGAAUUGUUGAAUUCUAGCGAGCCUCUAUAUGUGAGUGUGUCUAGUUGAGACUCAGAAAUGACGAGCCCAUUUAUACUUGUACAUGUAUGUAUAGAAGAGAAGAGUGGAAUA